GACGAACCGAGCGAACGUUGUUCGGAAUCACUGGGCUUAAAAGGCGCGUAGGCGGACUAUCAAGUCUGGGGUGAAAUCCCGCGGCUCAACCGUGGAACUGCCUCAGAUACUGACGGUCUCGAGGGAGGUAGGGGCAUGCGGAACUGUAGGUGGAGCGGUGAAAUGCGUUGAUAUCUACAGGAACUCCGGUGGCGAAAGCGGCGUGCUGGACCUCUUCUGACGCUGAGGCGCGAAAGCUAGGGGAGCAAACGGG
rnacentral:rRNA from 1 species